UACGUAGGUGGCAAGCGUUAUCCGGAAUUAUUGGGCGUAAAGGGUGCGUAGGCGGAUUUUUAAGUCAGCGGUAAAAUGUCCGGGCUCAACCCGGGCCGGCCGUUGAAACUGGGGAUCUUGGGUGGGCGAGAAGUAUGCGGAAUGCGUGGUGUAGCGGUGAAAUGCAUAGAUAUCACGCAGAACUCCGAUUGCGAAGGCAGCAUACCGGCGCCCGACUGACGCUGAGGCACGAAAGCGUGGGGAUCGAACAGG
rnacentral:rRNA from 1 species